rnacentral:rRNA from 1 species
UACAGAGGUCUCAAGCGUUGUUCGGAUUCAUUGGGCGUAAAGGGCGCGUAGGCGGCGGGGCAAGUCGGGUGUGAAAUCUCAGGGCUCAACCCUGAAACUGCACUCGAUACUGCUCUGCUUGAGGACUGGAGAGGAGACUGGAAUUCACGGUGUAGCAGUGAAAUGCGUAGAUAUCGUGAGGAAGACCAGUGGCGAAGGCGGGUCUCUGGACAGUCCCUGACGCUGAGGCGCGAAGGCCAGGGGAGCAAACAGG